rnacentral:rRNA from 1 species
UACGUAGGCAGCAAGCGUUGUUCGGAAUUACUGGGCGUAAAGCGUGCGCAGGCGGUUUCUUAAGUCAGAUGUGAAAGCCCCGGGCUUAACCUGGGAACUGCGUUUGAAACUGGGAGACUUGAGUGUGGCAGAGGGGGGUGGAAUUCCACGUGUAGCAGUGAAAUGCGUAGAUAUGUGGAGGAACACCGAUGGCGAAGGCAGCCCCCUGGGUUAACACUGACGCUCAUGCACGAAAGCGUGGGGAGCAAACAGG